AGAUUAUCUAAUUUGCAAACAGGCAUAUGCUUGGGGCACCAAAAAGGAAAAAGAAAAAUUUUAAUAUAUUAUUUUAGAAAGUAUUAAAUAAGUAAUUAUUACAUUAGUUAUAAUAAAAUAAUUAUUAAAGGAAAAGUAAAAACGUUGACUUUCUUUUAUUGUUUAGUAUUUUUAUUUUAGAUUACACAUGAGUGAAGUGAGGGAUGUGGUUAACCACUUUUAAGCUUAGGGUUGCUUCAGCUCUAAGUGGCCAUGAUUUUAUGAUAACUAACUUUGGAAAACUUUACAUAUGUGUGCAUAUAUAUCAAACAUUCAGAUAUGUGGAGAAAACAAUCUGGAUAAAUAUACCUCAACUGAAGAAUGGGUAGAUCUCUGAAUGAGAGCGUUUUGAUUUCUACGUUGUGUAUCUGUGUAACUUGGCGACUUGUUUACAAUGCCUAUGAGUUAACUUUUUUUAACUGAGAAAACAAGAUUAAGAUCAAAAUAAAACAAAAAUGCUGGCAGUGGAUAGUUAGGUCCCAUCCGGAAAUAUGACCCAUGCGCUGUGCGGCUGAGUGGUCUCACCUCUGCUUUAGGCUACUGAGUUGUCAGAUGUAGCGAUGAGAUCUUCCCUGCCAGGCUGACCUGCACGCGCACCUUGCUUCAUGCAGUGCCCUUUGGUUCCUCUGUGCUCCACUGCUGCCACCUGUGACUUCUGGCAACACCCUGCCUGUCCUUCUGGUCCUCCUGGGCUCAUUAGGCAUUCAUUUGACUAUUAAUAUUCCAAACUCUGAGCUAAGUGCAUGUGCUUGAAAUCUCAGCUACGGGGGACACUGAGACAGGAGGCUUGCUGGAGCCCAGGAGUUUGAUGCCAGCCUGGAUAACAUGUUUGUCCUGACCCCUGGAACUGACACUACCUCCAAGUCUAAUAAAACCCACUUAUUUUUCCUAUGAAAA